rnacentral:rRNA from 1 species
GACGAACGCUGGCGGCGUGCCUAAUACAUGCAAGUCGAGCGGAACUGGGGGAGCUUGCUCCUUCCAGUUUAGCGGCGGACGGGUGAGUAACACGUGGGCAACCCGCCCUGCAGAUCGGGAUAACUCCGGGAAACCGGUGCUAAUACCGAAUAGUUUGGCGCCUCUCCUGAGGCGCUACGGAAAGACGGUUUCGGCUGUCACUGCAGGAUGGGCCCGCGGCGCAUUAGCUAGUUGGUGGGGUAACGGCCACCAAGGCGACGAUGCGUAGCCGACCUGAGAGGGUGACCGGCCACACUGGGACUGAGACACGGCCCAGACUCCUACGGGAGGCAGCAGUAGGGAAUCUUCCGCAAUGGACGCAAGUCUGACGGAGCAACGCCGCGUGAGUGACGAAGGUUUUCGGAUCGUAAAACUCUGUUGUGAGGGAAGAACACGUACCAACUAACUAUUGGUACCUUGACGGUACCUCACCAGAAAGCCACGGCUAACUACGUGCCAGCCGCCGCCGUAA